GACGAACGCUGGCGGCGUGCUUAACACAUGCAAGUCGAACGGAAAGGCCCUGCUUUUGUGGGGUGCUCGAGUGGCGAAAGGGUGAGUAACACGUGAGUAACCUGCCCUUGACUUUGGGAUAACUUCAGGAAACUGGGGCUAAUACCGGAUAGGAGCUCCUGCUGCAUGGUGGGGGUCGGAAAGUUUCGGCGGUUGGGGAUGGACUCGCGGCUUAUCAGCUUGUUGGUGGGGUAGUGGCUUACCAAGGCUUUGACGGGUAGCCGGCCUGAGAGGGUGACCGGCCACAUUGGGACUGAGAUACGGCCCAGACUCCUACGGGAGGCAGCAGUGGGGAAUAUUGCACAAUGGGCGGAAGCCUGAUGCAGCAACGCCGCGUGCGGGAUGACGGCCUUCGGGUUGUAAACCGCUUUCGCCUGUGACGAAGCGUGAGUGACGGUAAUGGGUAAAGAAGCACCGGCUAACUACGUG
rnacentral:rRNA from 1 species